rnacentral:rRNA from 1 species
GACGAACGCUGGCGGCGUGCUUAACACAUGCAAGUCGAACGGAAAGGCCCUGCUUUUGUGGGGUGCUCGAGUGGCGAACGGGUGAGUAACACGUGAGUAACCUGCCCUUGACUUUGGGAUAACUUCAGGAAACUGGGGCUAAUACCGGAUAGGAGCUCCUGCUGCAUGGUGGGGGUUGGAAAGUUUCGGCGGUUGGGGAUGGACUCGCGGCUUAUCAGCUUGUUGGUGGGGUAGUGGCUUACCAAGGCUUUGACGGGUAGCCGGCCUGAGAGGGUGACCGGCCACACUGGGACUGAGAUACGGCACAGACUACUACGGGAGGCAGAAGUGGGGAAUAUUGCACAAUGGGCGGAAGCCUGAUGCAGCAACGCCGCGUGCGGGAUGACGGCCUUCGGGUUGUAAACCGCUUUCGCCUGUGCCGAAGCGUGAGUGACGGUAAUGGGUAAAGAAGCACCGGCUAACUCCGUG